UACGUAAGUUGCAAGCGUUAUCCGGAUUUAUUGGGCAUAAAGAGUGCGUAGGCGGUAUUUUAAGUCAGAUGUAAAAUCCCACAGCUCAACUGUGGUCAGCAUUUGAAACUGAAGUACUAGAGACUAGGAGAGGAAAGUGGAACUCACAGUGUAGCGGUGAAAUGCGUAGAUAUUGUGAGGAACACCAGUGGCGAAGGCGGCUUUCUGGACUAGAUCUGACGCUGAGGCACGAAAGCAUGGGGAGCGAACG
rnacentral:rRNA from 1 species